UCUGGUAAUUUUGUUGCUAGGGUGCACCCCGCUCUCAAUGGUCAAAUCAAAAAUAUCGAUAAAGUUGUAGAAAUCGUUGUGUCCGAUCGUCAUGUAAGUACUAUUUCAAUUGUCCAGGAAUUAAACUUUAUCCCUGAGCUCAACAUUGUACAAAAUCAUGUUUGGAAUUAUUUAAAUAAUGCUGGAUGUAAACAGAAAUUCAAGGAGGAUGAUUAUUGGUGUAGAAAAUUGGAUUACUUGCCACAACUUGAAGUAAAACCGGUCUAGGUCGAAUUCCGGUGAACCUGCACAAACGAUGGCGAAGUGAGCAUUAAUGGACAGUAAGAUUUUGCUCCGUUUUUGUUGGAAUUGGUAGGGGAUCAUAUACUAUGAACUACUCCCUUACGGUCAAACUCUUAAUUCGGACUUGUACUGUCAACAAUUUGACCGUCUAAAUGAAGUAAUCACGUAGAGAUUUCCAGUAUUGGUAAAUAACGGGAGCUAUGGCCACUUCGAUAAUGACUCGCUAGAAGCAACAAGAGCUUUAUGAGAGAUACUAAGGAUAAAUGGACGGUCCAUUAUAAUGACAUACGUGUAAUGCGUACUAAGUAUAUGCAUGAAUAAUAUGGACAUUCUAUGAAAAACGUUUUAGUGAGAAGCAGACUGUUUACAUUUCCUUAUAUAAUCAUCUGACAGGAAAGAGAGAUCUGUUUUGCCAGCAUGGACUUUGAAUUUAAUACAUCUUGUGAUGGAGUCAUACAUAAACUCGUAGACUGUAUGUGGACAAUCUACUUGCGUCAUUGUUUUUUCCACCAACUUUAGUACGGAGUAUAGAAAACGUAUACAGACAUGCGGUUUCCACUUGCGAUUCUAAAAUCUCGCUUGAUUUGUACUGGAGUGCGCACAAUACCGUUUUGAUCCCUAAGGCCUACGCAAACGUCGCUUGUCUUAGCCAAAUACGCCUGCAGCCACCAGCGCAAACACUUUCGAUGAUUUAAAUAAUCUCUCAUAAUUCCAUUUGUAUUCAAUUGCUUCGUCAAUAUGAAUCGAAGUUUAUUCAUUUCUUCCAUAUUAUGACUAAAAAGAUUUGAAUACAGCAUUAACGACAAAUGUAGGAUUAUAAAAGUUCUAUUUUCUUAGUAGAAAGUACAUGUGCUUUUCAUCUUUAUUAUUAAAUAAAAAAUUGUCAAAAAGUUGAUUUUCGGUGAUAAAGCAUUUUAUUUGAUUUUAUAUAUGUAU